GAUGAACGCUGGCGGCGUGCCUAAUACAUGCAAGUCGAACGCAUAGCGAAAGGUGCUUGCACCUUUCAAGUGAGUGGCGAACGGGUGAGUAACACGUGGACAACCUGCCUCAAGGCUGGGGAUAACAUUUGGAAACAGAUGCUAAUACCGAAUAAAACUUAGUGUCGCAUGACACAAAGUUAAAAGGCGCUUCGGCGUCACCUAGAGAUGGAUCCGCGGUGCAUUAGUUAGUUGGUGGGGUAAAGGCCUACCAAGACAAUGAUGCAUAGCCGAGUUGAGAGACUGAUCGGCCACAUUGGGACUGAGACACGGCCCAAACUCCUACGGGAGGCUGCAGUAGGGAAUCUUCCACAAUGGGCGAAAGCCUGAUGGAGAAACGCCGCGUGUGUGAUGAAGGCUUUCGGGUCGUAAAGCACUGUUGUAUGGGAAGAACAGCUAGAAUAGGAAAUGAUUUUAGUUUGACGGUACCAUACCAGAAAGGGGCGGCUAAAUACGUG
rnacentral:rRNA from 1 species